rnacentral:rRNA from 1 species
AACGAACGCUGGCGGCAGGCCUAACACAUGCAAGUCGAGCGAGGACUUCGGUCCUAGCGGCGGACGGGUGAGUAACGCGUGGGAACGUGCCCUUUGCUUCGGAAUAGCCCUGGGAAACUGGGAGUAAUACCGGAUGAGCCCUUUGGGGGAAAGAUUUAUCGGUGAAGGAUCGGCCCGCGUUGGAUUAGGUAGUUGGUGGGGUAAUGGCCUACCAAGCCGACGAUCCAUAGCUGGAUUGAGAGGAUGAUCAGCCACACUGGGACUGAGACACGGCCCAGACUCCUACGGGAGGCAGCAGUGGGGAAUCUUAGACAAUGGGGGAAACCCUGAUCUAGCCAUGCCGCGUGAGCGAUGAAGGCCUUAGGGUUGUAAAGCUCUUUCAGCUGGGAAGAUAAUGACGGUACCAGCAGAAGAAGCCCCGGCUAACUCCGUG